rnacentral:rRNA from 1 species
UGUGUAGGCGGUGCUCUAAGUCUGUUGUGAAAUCUCCCGGCUUAACUGGGAGGGUGCGGCGGAAACUGGAGUGCUCGAGUGUGGGAGAGGUAAGCGGAAUUCCUGGUGUAGCGGUGAAAUGCGUAGAUAUCAGGAGGAACACCUGUGGUGUAGACAGCUUACUGGACCACGACUGACGCUGAGACACGAAAGCGUGGGUAGCAAACAGGAUUAGAUACCCUGGUAGUCCACGCCCUAAACGAUGCAUACUUGGUGUGAGCGAUUCAUUUCGUUCGUGCCGGAGCUAACGCGUUAAGUAUGCCGCCUGGGGAGUACGGUCGCAAGGCUGAA